rnacentral:lncRNA from 1 species
UAGAUUCCAAAAAUGCAAUGUUCAGACUGGUCCAAAUAGGGCGUGAUGUCAUAAUGUUCGAAAGAGCAUGCAUAAUAUUAUUAACUUUCACGUCUGGAAAAACUAGCUUUUUAUGUCCACGGACUGUCUAUAGUUAUGCAAGAAUGAGGCAUCGACAGAAAGCCUAUUGACCGUAGAUUCCAAAAAUACAAUUUUCAGACCGUGACAAAUUCAAGUUUUUGCUACAAGGGGCCUUGAAAUUCAAUAGAACAAAAGGUUCGAAAUAGCAUAAUAUUAACUUUCACGUCUUUUUCGAUUACACAGCUGGAAAAACUUGCUUUUUAUCUCCACAUACGGCCUAGUGAUGCCUGAAUAAGGCAUCGGCAGAAAGCCUAUUGACCGUAGAUUCCAAAAAUACAAUUUUGAGACUAGCCCAAAUUCAAGACUGUGCUACACGAACCUUCAGAUUCAAGAGGACAUAAGGUUCGAAACAGCAUAAUAUUAACUUUCACGUCUUUUUCAAUUACACAGCUGAAAAAAACUUGCUUUUUAUGUUCACGAACUGUCUUGUUAUGGAAGAAUGAGGCAUCGACAGAAAGCCUAUUGAACGUAGAUUCCAAAAAUACAAUUUUCAGACCGUGCCAAAUUCAAGUUUUUGC